UAUACAUUUCUUAGAAGUGCAUUAAGGAGAAAGCCUCUACCUCUCCACCGAAGAGCUUCCACUUCUAGUAAGAGCCUCUCCUGGGCCACAAGACACUUCCUGCUCCAAGCCCAUUUUGUAAUUACCUUCCUUGGAAAUGCAAAAUCAGCCCACAGUCAUUGUGACUCAACCUGGAUUUACUCGUGCGCCCCAAAACUCCAACUGGCAGAUGGGCAUGUGUGAUUGCUUCAGUGACUGUGGAGUCUGUCUCUGUGGCACAUUUUGUUUCAUGUGCCUUGGGUGUCAAGUUGCAGCUGACAUGAAUGAAUGCUGUCUUUGUGGAACAACUGUCGCAAUGAGGACUCUCUACCGAACCCGAUAUGGCAUCCCUGGAUCUAUUUGUGAUGACUACAUGGCCACUAUCUGCUGCCCUGUUUGUUCCCUUUGCCAAAUCAAGAGAGAUAUCAACAGGAGGAGAGCCAUGAAUGCUUUCUAAAGAAGCUGGUGGUGAAGAGCUUUUACCGAAGCAACUAAAAUCAACAAACACCUCUUCAACUCAAGUUCUUCUCCAUCUUUUGCAAGUGAAAUAUGAUGGAUAUGUUUACUUAUGAUGAUGGGACUCCCAAAAAAUCAAAUUUUUGAUUUAUUCUAAAUAAAUGUUGUGCGUUAGCAUAGUUUCUCCUUGCUCUCACACUAUUAAAUUU
rnacentral:lncRNA from 1 species